CCUACGGGGGGCAGCAGUGAGGAAUAUUGGUCAAUGGACGAGAGUCUGAACCAGCCAAGUAGCGUGAAGGAUGACUGCCCUAUGGGUUGUAAACUUCUUUUAUAUGGGAAUAAAAUGUUCCACGUGUGGGAUUUUGUAUGUACCAUAUGAAUAAGGAACGGCUAACUCCGGGCCAGCAGCCGCGGUAAUACGGAGGAUCCGAGCGUUAUCCGGAUUUAUUGGGUUUAAAGGGAGCGUAGGUGGAUUGUUAAGUCAGUUGUGAAAGUUUGCGGCUCAACCGUAAAAUUGCAGUUGAAACUGGCAGUCUUGAGUACAGUAGAGGUGGGCGGAAUUCGUGGUGUAGCGGUGAAAUGCUUAGAUAUCACGAAGAACUCCGAUUGCGAAGGCAGUUCACUGGACUGCAACUGACACUGAGGCUCGAAAGUGUGGGUAUCAAACAGGAUUAGAUACCCCUGUAGUC
rnacentral:rRNA from 1 species